GACACGACUCUCGGCAAUGGAUAUCUCGGCUCUCGCAUCGAUGAAGAGCGCAGCGAAAUGCGA
rnacentral:rRNA from 19 species